rfam:Chelonia mydas contig215272, whole genome shotgun sequence.
GCAAAGGCUCUUUUAAGAGCCAUCCGCUUUUUCACAAUUAGAGUUA